AUCUCUCUCCCCGGCAUAUCUCUCUCCCCAAUCCCGCCCUCCUGUCCGCCUCCCAUCCCGCGCCGCGCCAUGGCUCCCCACCACCUCCAGCUCUUCGUUGCCGCUGGCCGCUCGAACCCAGCGCGCCGCCGGCCGCUCACCCCUGGAAGCGCCCCCCCAAUCCCGCUCUCCUGUCCGCCUCCCAUCCCGCCCCACGCCAUGGCUCCCCACCACCUCCAGCUCUUCGUUGCCGCCGGCCGCUCGAAGCCAGCGCUCCGCCGGCCGCUCGCCCCUGGAAGCACCCCCCAAUCCCGCCCUCCUGUCCGCCUCCCAUCCCGCACUGCGCCAUGGCUCCCCACCACCUCCAGCUCGUCGUUGCCGCCGGCCGCUUGAACCCAGCGCGCCAUGGUCCAGCUCUCGUGGCGCCCUAGGCUAAGAAUAAGCUGAGAGCGUCGAGAGCGAGGUGCGCACCAGCUCCGGCAUGUUUCUGCAGAAGAAGCAGGUGAGCUAUAUCACACCAACUGAUCUCGUUUACUAUGGUCAUGUUACGGGUUUGCGUUGAUUCAGAGAUGAAACAGCAGCUUAUUUUGGUUGCUUGUGUACAUGGUGGUCUUGAAUAGGGAAUGCACCAUUAGGUAGAUUGCUAUUUUGUGCAGGUGUUCUCAACCAGCAACCUGAAGCAGUGGUGUUCCCAGGUGCUGUUCCCACAACCGUGAUGUGGUCUUCCCAGGAGUGUGCUGUGGUGUUCUGAACCAGGAACCUGAAGCUCUUUAGAUCACAAAGAAUUAAAUGGCACCUGAAGCAGCAAGGAUUUGUCAUUCUGUUCUUGAGAGCAAUGUAAAAUAAUAUACAUGUACAGAUUUGUUGUAAUCCUGAUACUCUUGAGAGGAAUGUUAAAUAAAGUGUCAUUCUGGUUUCAGUUUA